GACGAACGCUGGCGGCGUGCUUAACACAUGCAAGUCGAACGGAAAGGCCCCCACCUUGGUGGGGGUGCUCGAGUGGCGAACGGGUGAGUAACACGUGGGUGAUCUGCCCUGUACUUCGGGAUAAGCUUGGGAAACUGGGUCUAAUACCGGAUAGGACCAUGGUUUAGUGUCUCAUGGUGGAAAAAUUAUUGUUUUGGUGCAGGAUGAGCUCGCGGCCUAUCAGCUUGUUGGUGGGGUAAUGGCCUACCAAGGCGUCGACGGGUAGCCGGCCUGGGAGGGUGGACGGCCACAUUGGGACUGAGAUACGGCCCAGACUCCUACGGGAGGAAGCAGUGGGGAAUAUUGCACAAUGGGCGCAAGACUGAUGCAGCGAGGCCGCGUGGGGGAUGACGGCCGUCGGGUUGUAAACUCCUUUCGUUAGGGACGAAGCCACACCUUUUUUGGGUGUGGUGACGGUACCUUUGUUAAGAAGCACCGGCUAACUACGUG
rnacentral:rRNA from 1 species